UACGUAGGGGGCAAGCGUUGUCCGGAAUCAUUGGGCGUAAAGAGCGCGUAGGCGGCCCAGUAAGUCCGCUGUGAAAGUCGGGGGCUCAACCCUCGGAUGCCGGUGGAUACUGUCGGGCUUGAGUACGGAAGAGGCGAGUGGAAUUCCUGGUGUAGCGGUGAAAUGCGCAGAUAUCAGGAGGAACACCAAUUGCGAAGGCAGCUCGCUGGGACGUUACUGACGCUGAGACGCGAAAGCGUGGGGAGCAAACAGG
rnacentral:rRNA from 1 species